UACGAAGGGGGCUAGCGUUGCUCGGAAUGACUGGGCGUAAAGGGCGCGUAGGCGGUUUAGACAGUCAGAUGUGAAAUUCCUGGGCUUAACCUGGGGACUGCGCUUGAGACGGGUGUGCUGGAGUGCGGCAGAGGGGGAUGGAAUUCCGCGUGUAGCAGUGAAAUGCGUAGAUAUGCGGAGGAACACCGAUGGCGAAGGCAAUCCCCUGGGCCUGCACUGACGCUCAUGCACGAAAGCGUGGGGAGCAAACAGG
rnacentral:rRNA from 1 species